rnacentral:tRNA from 1 species
CGGGGCGUGGCGCAGUCUGGUAGCGCACCUGUUUUGGGUACAGGGGGUCGUGAGUUCAGAAUCUCGCCGCCCCGACCA